AGGCCAUUAUUUACAGGCAAACAGAUACUUGCAGGUGUAACAACCGUAACGGCCGUUAUGUAACAGUAAUGGCCAUAACCGACUGAUAAAUAAUAACAACGGCCGUUACUGUAAAGAUUCCUCUACUAUUUUUUCAUAUGUGCAUAGUGUUUUGGUGCCCUUUUUCUUGUCUCUGCGUGCAACACUUCAAUAGCUGCUGUUUAGCUUCAAUUUCUCUCAAAUUUUCA
rnacentral:misc_RNA from 1 species